GCAAGUCGAGCGAACAGAUAAGGAGCUUGCUCCUUUGACGUUAGCGGCGGACGGGUGAGUAACACGUGGAUAACCUACCUAUAAGACUGGGAUAACUUCGGGAAACCGGAGCUAAUACCGGAUAAGAUUUUGAACCGCAUGGUUCAAUAGUGAAAGACGGCCUUGCUGUCACUUAUAGAUGGAUCCGCGCCGUAUUAGCUAGUUGGUAAGGUAACGGCUUACCAAGGCAACGAUACGUAGCCGACCUGAGAGGGUGAUCGGCCACACUGGAACUGAGACACGGUCCAGACUCCUACGGGAGGCAGCAGUAGGGAAUCUUCCGCAAUGGGCGAAAGCCUGACGGAGCAACGCCGCGUGAGUGAUGAAGGUCUUCGGAUCGUAAAACUCUGUUAUCAGGAAAGAACAAACGUGUAAGUAACUGUGCA
rnacentral:rRNA from 1 species